rnacentral:sRNA from 1 species
AUUCGAACCUGCCGCAGGUUCGGGUCGAACGUCGUGAGACAACGGCGUCGUUUACGACAACGGCCCGAAGGGCGAGCGUAGCGAGUCAUCCUGCACGCCCCACCA